CCUACGGGAGGCAGCAGUGGGGAAUUUUGGACAAUGGGCGCAAGCCUGAUCCAGCCAUGCCGCGUGCGGGAAGAAGGCCUUCGGGUUGUAAACCGCUUUUGUCAGGGAAGAAACGCUUUGGGAUAAUACCCUGAGGUAAUGACGGUACCUGAAGAAUAAGCACCGGCUAACUACGUGCCAGCAGCCGCGGUAAUACGUAGGGUGCAAGCGUUAAUCGGAAUUACUGGGCGUAAAGCGUGCGCAGGCGGUUCUAUAAGACAGAUGUGAAAUCCCCGGGCUCAACCUGGGAACUGCAUUUGUGACUGUAGAGCUUGAGUGCGGCAGAGGGGGAUGGAAUUCCGCGUGUAGCAGUGAAAUGCGUAGAUAUGCGGAGGAACACCGAUGGCGAAGGCAAUCCCCUGGGCCUGCACUGACGCUCAUGCACGAAAGCGUGGGGAGCAAACAGGAUUAGAUACCCUGGUAGUCCACGCCCUAAACGAUGUCAACUGGUUGUUGGGAAGGUUCCUUCUCAGUAACGUAGCUAACGCGUGAAGUUGACCGCCUGGGGAGUACGGCCGCGAAGGUUGAAACGUCAAAGGAAUUGACGG
rnacentral:rRNA from 1 species